AAUGAUUUUAUAAAUAUGUAUUAAUAUUAUUAUAAACUAUUAUAUAUGACUCUACGUAAUUAUAAGUUAACAAUUAAGUUAACCCUUAAAAAAAAUUAUUAUUAUUGUUAUUGUUAAGUGCUAAAAAAGAAUUCUAAUACCAUAGAGUCAAACUUAGCAACGAAUAUUACAUUCUCUUAUUAUUAUUAAUUUAUUAUUAUUGACUAUGGACUUGAGUUUUGAAUUUUUUAUUCUAUUAAAUUUAAAUAAAGACAUAUGGAUCCAAAAAAAAUACACAAGCUUGAAAAAAAUAAGACAACAACUUGGCAUACGCUCUUAAAAAGAGAAAAAAGCUUAGUGGGCUAUUUUUCCUAGGCACGACACGACAAGGCCUAUGGCACGGCACGUGUGGGCACGGCACGAGUGGGCACAAGCACGAGCACGCGUGGGCACGGCACAUGUGCCGGGUUGACACGGCAUGGCACGACACGAAAUGAAUAGUGUGCACGGCACGAGCACGAGCACGCGUGGGCUUCCUUUGAUGGGUCUGGGCCGGCACGGCACGGUCCGUUGGCCAUCUCUAGAUAGAGAGCAGGUAAUAAGUAUGAAUUCAAUAUGCAGGGUACAACCAGUUCAAUUUAUUUCUUUCUCACUUAUCAGUUUUUUUUAUCAAAUGAAAGGACAUACAUUUGGUAGAACUUAUCUUCAAUUACUAGCUUGUUAAGAGAGAGAAUACAAGUACUUAUGAGCUCGCAUGUUAGGCCUAAAUUUAGCAAUCCGGGAAGUAAUUAGAGUCAUUAUAAUCUACCCUCCUUUUAAAUCUAAGGUACGCGGUGGUUCAUAUCCUGGCUCCUAACUUGGUGACACGCCAAGGGCCUCGUUCAUAUUCCAACUAGGUGACACACCAAGAUUACGAGACUAGGAUCAACUGCAGUGAGAGUCAUCUCCAAGGAUAGGGCUUGCUCUAGGGAUGGCAAAAUUUUCCACGGGUUUGGGGCCCCAUGGAGCCCCACCCCAAAUGGGGAAAAUUUUAAAUAAUUUUUGGAGAAUGGGGUGGGGAGUGAAGGAAAAUAAUCCCCAAAUUCUUAAUAGGGUGGGGUUUGGUUUUGUACUCCCCACCCCACCCCCACCCCAAUCCUCAUUAUAUAUAAAUAUGUUUUUAAUUAUUAU
rnacentral:lncRNA from 1 species